rnacentral:rRNA from 1 species
AUUGAACGCUGGCGGCAGGCCUAACACAUGCAAGUCGAGCGAGCGGCGGACGGGUGAGUAAUGUAUGGGGACUGCCCGAUAGAGGGGGAUAACUACUGGAAACGGUGGCUAAUACCGCAUACUAUCGGAUAACCCAUAUGGGAUUAGCUAGUAGGUGGGGUAACGGCUCACCUAGGCGACGAUCUCUCGCUGGUCUGAGAGGAUGAUCGGCAACACUGGGACUGAGAAACGGCCCAGACUCCCAGGGAGGCAGCAGUGGGGAAUAUUGCACAAGGGGGGCAAGCCUGAUGCAGCCAUGCCGCGUGUAGGAAGAAGGCCUUCGGGUUGUAAAGUACUUUCAGCGGGGAGGCGGUACCGGCAGAAGAAGCACCGGCUAACUCCGUGCCAGCAGCCGCGGUAAUAC